UACGGGGGGGAGCAAGCGUUGUUCGGAUUUACUGGGCGUAAAGGGCGCGUAGGCGGUCAGCACAAGUCAGUUGUGAAAUCUCCGGGCUUAACUCGGAAAGGUCAACUGAUACUGUGCGACUAGAGUGCGGAAGGGGCAACUGGAAUUCUCGGUGUAGCGGUGAAAUGCGUAGAUAUCGAGAGGAACACCUGCGGCGAAGGCGACUAUCUGGGCUGCAACUGACGCUGAGACACGAAAGCCAGGGGAGCGAACGGG
rnacentral:rRNA from 1 species